UAAAAUAUAUAUCAUUAUCAUAAAAUUUAUAUAUUAUAAGCUAUAUUUUAUACCUGGUGAGGCGGAUUACAAAAAUCCAAUCCCGGGCUCGCCCCAUCCCACAUAAUCACCUAUCCCCUUCCAAUUUAUUUAUUCGGGUAGUGUGUAACAAAUGUCAUCGUGAGACAUGUUGUGUUCUCUUCUUACCAACAUCUCUCUUUAAUUUUCAAGUUCCAGACAUCUUCUAGUUGAUAGUCCUUUAUCUUUAGUAUGUGGUAUAAUACUAAAAAGCAUGGGGGAGGAUAGUGAAGGCUAUCAAAUGUAACCAUUUGGAUUAGUCUUAUUUGUAGGAGAAAGCACUGGGGUGGAGAGUGAAGUUGAUCUAAUAACCAUUUGGCUUGAAAUUUGUCCCAUCCAUCCAUAACAAGUCUAAUUCUGCACCCUCAUCACACCCUUGCCGCUGCCACUGAAGACACGCACCCGCAUGAUCUGCAAUCAUUUGAGAUCCCUAAGCAAAUCAGUGGCCUGUGUUUCUGAUUUUUGAACUGUUAGGGCGCGUUUGGUUUAGGGUGAUUGUUGAUAACCUUGUUUGGUUUAGGUUAUGAUCAAUUCCCGAGUAAUGCAGCUUAUUGCUACAUCAGCAAAACGUUAUCAAAUGAGCUAUAACUCCGGAAUCCGAUUACCUUGGCAACCUAAGGUCUUCGGUGAUUCUGGAGGUUAAUGAUUUUUUUGGUCAAAAUUAUCCUUUAUUUUGUUUUUGACGCCGAUGACUCAUGGGUUAUUCUCCAACGGCUCGUAAGGCGAGCGACGGGGCAAGCAGCAAGCAAUGGGGUGAGGCGAAGCAAGUGGCAACGGCAUGACGAGGUGUGGGUGAGAGGGAGAAGAUGACACAGUAAUCGGAUGAGUGAUCUUAGGUUUUUUAAUUAAAAUUUUUCUUAAUUGAUUCAAUCAAAUCCUAACUUAAAUAGGUAGUUUAAAUAGACUUUCUCAAACCUUAAUCGAAUUAUCCUAUUAAAAUAUAUAUAAAUUUAUUUCAAAAUUUAAAAAUUAUAAAUAAAUUAUAUUUAUUUAUUAUAUAUAUUAUCAAUUUAUUGUUAUCAUUAAUAUUAUUAAUUUAAUUUAUUCUAAAAAUAAAUAAAUAUCAAAAAUAUUUAGGAUUGAACCAAAGGUAAUACGGUAAAUGUUAAACUAUAUUAUACACUAAAACUUUCAAACAAACAAGUUUUUAUUGCAUUACCUAAGAUUGAACCAAACAAUAUUGGGUUAUGUUUUAUUCUCCAUAAUCUUAGGUGGCGUUUGGUUAAAUGAUGGGAAUGACUAUUGAUAUGAGUUUGAUAGUAAGGUGUAAUGGGAGUGAGAAUGGAAAUGAAACCCACCUAGUUAUAUGAGUUUGGUUGAUUCCCAUAAAUCUAGAAAUCAUUCCCAAAUUAUCAUUCUCAAACCCACAACCCAAACACAAUCUUUUACUAUCAUUCCAUUACCUCAUUCCCAAACCCAUCAACCAAACACCACCUUAGUUAUGUGUAGAGCUGUGCAAAAAAAAAUGGAAAACCGAAAACCGGACCGGAACCGGUAGCUUACUGGUUCCGGUUUAACUGUUAACCGGUUUUAACCGGUUUUUACCGGUUUAUCAGUUGGUUCCCGGUUUAGAAUUUUUUUUACUGGUAAACCGAUAAAACCGGGAACCGAUCGGUUUUCUUUGGAGAGCCCAAUAACCCACUUGAAUGCUUCGGCCUACUUUCAUGUAAAGAUGAACAAAGCAAAAGCAUUUGGAAUAAACCUUAAAGCUCCCAGUUUAAGAUGAGUUCUAUUAUAUUGCUCUGAUCGUGUCUCCACCAGCUUGCAUUUGCCACUACUUCAUGGUUACCUGGUUAGCUUUUUUAAUGAAAAAUGUUAAACUUUGUAGAUUAAUACUCCAACCUCUUUUAAGGAAGAAAAUUGUUAAAUUUAAUUAAUACAUGUACUCUGCCAAACGUAACAAACUAGUGGUAGAUGGCUAACUUUCCUGUGCUGCCAUUAACAUAACAGCGCUAUUGAAAAGUAAAUCCAGGGAGCGACGAUAUCUUUAUAUGAUCUUCCGUUUGUCUAUAGCAUAUAAUACAACAGAGUGUUUGUGGCAAAUUCAUGAAAGAUUUCUAUGAUGACAGGAAGAAGAAAUUAAUUUAACAAAACAAAGAUAUGAAGAAGUUAACUCUUAUCUUCUUCCCUGAUGGCUAUUGAAGCGUCAUACACAGUUCACGAGAAGAAUUUCUAGCUUCUGGAUCUAAAUUAUGUGCUAGUGCAACAAAAUAAUCAAUUAGCACAGCAGCUGGAACCGGUUCUCGGUUGGAACUGGUUAACCGGCCAGAACCGGUUCAACCGGAACCGGUAGAACCGGAAAGGAUACCGGUCGGUUAACCGGUUCUACAUAAAAUGUGGUAAACUGGAAUUAACCGGAACCGAUAAACCGGUAAAUCCGUUAACCGACCGGUUGAACAUGCCUAGUUAUGUGAUUACCUGAUAAUCACAUAACUAAGGUUAUGCAUGAUAACUUGAACCAGCACCCUUAAAAUUUUCACAGUGGCUAGUAUGAAUUCCAGGUCAUGAUUAGGAAGUUUCUGAGUUACUUGUACUUAAAAAUAGCUCUCUAGUAUACCUUAUUUUUUAUUGAUCAUUACUAAAAUAGAAAAAUCAUGUAUGAUCAUAAAUCGAUGAAUUCCAAACAAGUGUCAUAUUAAUCUUGGUUGGAACAACUAGAUUUGGAAUACAGUGAAACUGGAACAGCUCUGCUCUCUUUGCUUGUGUUAAUUACUAGGGCUGAGCUUUCGGGUGAAAGAACUGACCGAACAGAACAAACCGAAACCACAUAAAUCAAAAAAAUUUCAAACAAACCGAACCGACCAAAUUUUUCAACAAAACCUGAAAAAAUCGAACCUAUAUAACAUCGGUUAAUUCAGUUUUCGACUGAAUUAACCGAACUUCAACAAUCAAACAAAAAAAAUCAGUAUUGCUUGCAAGAGGCCAAUUGCCGUUCUCACAGAGCUCCUCAGCUGUCAUUAAUUCUUGAACUCUAGAAAUCAAGCCAGCUAACACAAUUCCAGCAAUUCUAGAACCUUAGAUGAAGAAAUAAAACAAAUGCUUCAAUCGAGGAAUAGUGAAAUGCGGAGAAAACGAAAAUUGAAGUAAUCUGCAUGAGCUACCUUCAGAUCUCGACAAGCGGGGAGAUCAUUCGGUAAAGCAAGGGAUAUCAAGAGUUAAUUCGGAGAAGAGUGCUUGGAGGAAGGAAGGGGAAGAGAUCGGGAGACAUCAGUGAGGUAGCAAUCCUCCACAUAGACGGGGGUAAUGGUGAAUCGAAGAGAGACUGUGUUGUUGCCGGUCGUUCGCUUGUUGCGGCCUGCGUGAGGACAAGGGGACUCAUAGGCGAUGGUCUCAUCUGCGGCGAGAGCUACAAGAGGGGAGGGAGGGCUUCAUAGUGUUGUUGGUUAGUUGCUCGCUCGUUGGCUACGGCCUGCAUGAGGACAAGGGGACUUAGAGAGUUGCUGGCGAUGGUCUCAUCAGUGGCGAGACCCACAAGAAGGGAGGAGGUAAGAGUGUUGGGAGGAGAGGCGAGAGUGGGAGUCAUGAGGGGAGGUUGACAAGAUGAGUGGGAUUCCCACAAGGGAGGAGGUAAGAGUGUUGGGAGGAGAGGCGAGAGUGGGAGUCACGAGGGGAGGCUGACAAGACGAGUGGGAUUGGAAAUUAGGGAUUUUAAUUUUUAAACUCCCAUCUUGGUUUGGUUUUAGAUUUUUAAAACCAAAAUCGAAGUGAUAUUUUUUUUUAAAAAAAAAGAACUUUCGAAUUAACUGCACCAAAUUUUUAAUUUCGGUAGUUAAUUUGGUUUAACUAAUCUUUUACUCACCUCUAAUUAUUACUAUGGAAUUAACUGCAGCAUUUUACCAUUUUUUAAAUAUUUGUCUGAAAUAGGUUUAUUGAGGUAAUAUAUUAGAAUCAUAUUUCAUUGAAGUCUAAAGGUUCUUAUGAGUCCUGCAUCACCAUUUCUCAAGUUUGCUGCUAGUUAAAGCUGGUACAGUUUUGUUAAUAACUACUUUGCUGAGAGGUGGACCAUGCUAAAGCCACGCUGGAUGACAUCCGCUGGUGGUACCAAUCAAUUAGAGCAAAUUGAUGUCUGAGUUGUAUAUUGUUCCCAAUGAAGUAUGAAAAGUCUCAUGGUUUGCAUCGCCCUUGCUUUAUGCCUCAUCUCAUGUAAGAAGUCUCACCUUUAGGAAAUCAUUCUAGCAUAUGUGUCACAACUCCACGUCUCAAUCUGUACCAUGCAUUGUUGCCCCACCUGGUGCAAAAAUAUGUUUCAUCUGUGCUGACCACUACAGAACCUUGUUUUUAAGCGUGAAUAAAGUCUUAUUGCAAACUUGAAAUACAAUAAUCUUCUAGUUCUUUAAUGCUGCAUGUAAUUGGAAACUCCUUUGUUGGUUACUUGGUUGUUGCGUCUAUAGAUUUCAAGCCAAUUAAUGGAAGUGUUCUCAUAUUAAUUUGGCUAGUUUUACAGUUCUAUGUAGAGAAUUAAGGUGGGAAACCACUUUUACAGAAUCAUCGCAAUAACACAUUUUAGAUGUUACAAAGAAGCAACAUAAUGGAUUUUACUGUAAAAAUAAAUCAUUUUAGUUAAUUUCAUAUGAUAGUGUUGAUACAUUCGUUCGAGCUGUAUAUCUCAUUUUCAUAUGGCAAGGUUUUUCAGGGACAUGAUUUUGAUUCUUGACAUAUGUAUAUAUUCUAACCAUAUUGGGUAAGGUUUAAGGCUGUCACUUCAUGCAGUAGUCAUGUGUAUCUACAUUUCUGUUAUUGAAAUUCUAUUCCCUAGUAAUAUCUUCCUGAUCUUCUUUUGCGGCAAUUUCCAGAUUUCCGAUCUAUUAUAUGGACAUUUUGGACAUGCCAACUGUUAUGUUGACCCUGCUAUCGCCACAUAGAAAAUAUUCCGUGUCUUUCUCUAUGUUGCUGCAUCUUUUGUAUCUUAGAAUUAAGUGUAUCCUUUUCUCAACUAAGAAUGAUAGAGGUAGCAUAGUAGUGCUCUAUAUUGUCUGGAGGAUUGAUCCAGCUUAAGCAUUAACAUGGUAGAUCAGGCCUUGCUAAUGUUUGAUUACACUAUUCUCUUUGUUUUAUCUUGGCAAAAACUUCCGAUUAUGCCAUCUUUUUUAAGCUUUACAUUCCAUUUCUAAUUGUUGGGUUUUUUUUGUUCUUUCAUGGCUUGCAGGUUAAGAAAUUAACCAAUAACAUCUCAUAUAUAUUGGAUGCACUCCUAAAUUCAACCAUUUUGGAAGUACAGGGUGAUAAAAUAAGACGACGCAAGGAUUGGAUGAACUGGAUUCUUCCUUCAAUAUCCAAGCGAUAUGGCAUUGUUCCAGGGCCCGAGUCUUUAGCCACGUCGGAUGAUGGUUCUCUUGAUACUCUUGUCCAAAAUCUUGGCUUGGAGGAUGGUGCUGCUUGCCAAGCCAUAUAUAAUGGGACACUUGAAAAAGUCAAUUAGUCCCUAGACCAGAGUUCCUUGGAAUGUGUUGCAUUACACUACUGGAUCAAAGCACAGAGAGACAAUUUUAAGAUUUCCAAAAUACAAAUAAUGAAAUAAUGAGGUGGCUAAGUUGCCACUAUCAUGUUCCUUAUUUUGGCUUGGUUUUGCUAAUGAUUUUGGUGAGCGAUACUCUAUCUCGAUUUGCUGGUGGACCGACAAAUUAUCCACAUCCUUGUUGGUGAAUACCUUCAUGGCAAUAAUGACUCGUGGUCAGCCACUCACCCCUGGAUGAGUGUGGCAAUGACAUCUGUCACAACUGUUAUCAUUUUCUGUUGUCUGGUAACUCGGUUUAUUGCUAUUAGCUGUUUGAUGAUUGUUAAAUAAUUGAAACUAUUUUUGA